rnacentral:rRNA from 1 species
AGCGAACGCUGGCGGCAGGCCUAACACAUGCAAGUCGAACGGAUCCUUCGGGAUUAGUGGCGGACGGGUGAGUAACACGUGGGAACGUGCCCUUUGGUUCGGAACAACUCAGGGAAACUUGAGCUAAUACCGGAUGUGCCCUUCGGGGGAAAGAUUUAUCGCCAUUGGAGCGGCCCGCGUCUGAUUAGCUAGUUGGUGAGGUAACGGCCCACCAAGGCGACGAUCAGUAGCUGGUCUGAGAGGAUGAUCAGCCACACUGGGGCUGAGACACGGCCCAGACUCCUACGGGAAGCAGCAGUGGGGAAUCUUGCGCAAUGGGCGAAAGCCUGACGCAGCCAUGCCGCGUGAAUGAUGAAGGUCUUAGGAUUGUAAAAUUCUUUCAGCGGGGACGAUAAUGACGGUACCCGCAGAAGAAGCUCCGGCUAACUUCGUG